CCAAUAAAGAAAAUAUAGAAAAAAAAAAUUACAGUGGAGGGCAAAAUGCCACGUAUACGUAUGUUUUGCAGAUACCACAUAGUGCUUAUUGCCAUGUUUGCCAAAGGUGGUGAUAUACGUUAAAAAUUCAAAACUGAAAAUUUUACAGCAACUACAUUAAACAUAAUAUGUUUUCCAACCUUCAACUUUGACACUGAAAGUGUCAAAAGCAACCUGCAUAUGUGGUGUAACUGCACUUACUGUGUACAGCAGUGGUUCCCAAAACAUAGAUUGCCAGAUGUUUUAAAACUACAACUUUCAUGAUGCCAUGUAAUUUUAAAGGCAUGCAAAGCAUCAUGGGAGCUGUAGUUCUACAACAUCUGGGGUGCUACCUAUUAGGCACCCGUGGUGUACAGCAGUAUGCUUACUUAUAGACAUUAUUUUACAUUCUUGUUGCAUGUUUAGAAAGAUGUGUUUAUAAAAAAUGCCAUUAGGCUCUAUACAAAUACACAUAAACGGGGUACUGGGAUAUUUGCAUUUAUCUAGUGAUUUACUGUAUGUGACAAAAAAUAUAUUUUUGUUCUUGGCUUAAAUAAUUAGAGGGAUGAUGUAUUAUAUCUAAAAGGUUUUAUUCUCCUAAUAUUCCCAUAAGAAACAUGAAUAUGAACUAAACAUUGUCUAAAUUGCAUCAUUUUAUUUGUUUUUAGAUUAUGGAACAGGAAUCUGUAUACAAAGCUACUGUUUUACUCAACAUCUGUGUGCUAGCUAUGCAUCCCUUGUUUGAAAUAAAUGUUUGUUUUUAAAUUAAAACAACGUGAUAGUGAUGGAGGUAAAUACUCAACAUAUUUUAUUUUGCAAUAAAUGGAAUUCUCGGGUUUCUGAAGGGGGUUAUUCACUAAAGGAACUGCGCAGAACUGGUAAGUUGGAAUAAAAGAUACAUAGUGAACAUUUUCCCAUUGUACUACUUUGCCCUAAGUUCUACUAUUGUUUUGCAAUGCCCAUGUGAGUUCAUAAAAAAAAUCACAAUAUAGUAAGCAAUAGAAGAACACUACCCAUAUAUAUUCAAACUGUCAUUCUGCAUACAAUUUGAACUGUUUAGAAAGGGAUGGGCAACCUUCAGCACUCCAGAUGUUGUGGACUAGAUCCCCUGUAAUGCUCUUACACCCAUAAUGCUGGCAAAGCAUCAUGGGAGGUGUAGUCCAAAACAUUUGGAGUGCCAAAGGUUGCCUAUGCCUGGUUUAGAACAUACAGAUCUGUUUAUCUCCCCCGGUGCCUCAGCAAAUGGAUGAAACAUUAGUAUUUUACAAUUUAUCAUACAACAUGAUACUAUAUAGUUUCUAGCUAUUGUUGUCAUUGUGCUUUUUUAAAAUUUCCUUUUCUAACAAUAAAUACAUAAUGUAAGUUAUCAUUUUAGAAUGACC